AUUUUUUUAAUCUUCAUUAUGCUUUUUCAGCAUUAUGUUGGAAUGGGUAGAGAAAGAGAGAAAAUUAAUUUGCUGGAUGUUUAUGUUGGAGAAAUUGAGAUUACCUUUCUGUCAGCCUGCUGAAAUAUCGUAAGAAUCAAAACUGGAACUUCAAAGGGAAUAAGGAAGUAUAUCAUCCUCCCAUAUUACAGACAUGGGCUAAAAUCGAAGGAAAUGAAGAGCUGAAGAGCACAAUGUGGAAUGAAGCAAGUCUCGCAAAGAUUGCAGUGUGGGAAUUUUCUUUUUGGAUGAUCAGAGAGGGACAGGACAGAAUGAUAACACCUGGUGCAUCCUGAAAAUUAGGCCUCUUUGAAGUGUUCCUGCAUGUGCAACCAGAAGAAAGAGGCACACAAAAUCAUGGGUCAAAUAUUUCAGACAGUUACUAAGAAGCAGCAUGACAGCUACAAGAAAAUAAGCAAAAUGAAGGAGCAUGUGAACUGGGAGUACAUCAAGAUGCCACAAACAAUGCUAGAUCUUCAUGUGAUGCUAGUUUGCUAUUUGCAGUCAUGCAGCAUAAACCACACCAGUCUCUGUGUUCAAAAGAAAGUAAAACUACCAAUGUGAUGAGAGAUAUUGGCUUCCAGGUAAAAAUAACGAGUUCAUGUGGAUGUUGGCAAGCUCUGUGAGACAGAGAUGAUCUGUAGUAUGACUUGAUGAACACUCCUAAAAUGGGACAGUAAGCUUCUAUUCCAAAAUGAUCAGUGUAUAAAGCUAUCUAUCACCUUGUAAUAUGAAAUAUAUUAAAAAGGUUGACUAUGGUUACAAAGACAAAAAGAUGAAAAACAAAAUUCGUCCAACAAUUAUGAUUGUUUAGGUCUUUUGCUUUUCGAUUUUUUACUGCCUUGUUUAAGUUUCCUGCAUGCACACAAAUAUGAAGAAAAGAAGCCUUUCCCAGAUCUCAUAUAAGCUUUUCCUUCUUGCCUAUUUAGAGCCAAGCAUGCCUUAUCCUUCAAUUACUGCUAGCUCCUAGCCAUGUCAUCUACUUCUGAAAUAUUCAUUUGCUGCCAUCUUUGCUGCCAUCAUUUCAGUGAUUGCUGUACACCUUUGCUGGAUUUGAUGCUAGCCUUUAGUCAGUGCUGAGGUCCUUUCUAAUCUUCUAAUCUAAUACAGAAAAUGUUCUAUUGUGUGUCUUUGAAAAAUAUGUAUAUAUAAAGAGUAGCUUCUGUGCUCAGCUUCUUUGCAGUCUUACACCUUCCUCCUGAGUCAGCUACUGUGCUUGUUUGCUCCAUCAUUAUCCUGGCUGAAAAAUGUCAGAGUGAUGGAGUACCUACGAGCAGUUUCCCAGUGAAAAAAUAAAGGAUUUGCUGAGUGAGCA
rnacentral:lncRNA from 1 species